GACAGAGGGUGCAAACGUUGCUCGGAAUUACUGGGCGUAAAGCGCGUGUAGGCGGGCCGGAAAGUCGGGCGUGAAAUCCCUGGGCUCAACCCAGGAACUGCACUCGAAACUUCCGGUCUAGAGUGGUGGAGGGGGAAGUGGAAUUCCUGGUGUAGAGGUGAAAUUCGUAGAUAUCAGGAGGAACACCAGUGGCGAAGGCGGCUUCCUGGACACCAACUGACGCUGAGACGCGAAAGCGUGGGGAGCAAACAGG
rnacentral:rRNA from 1 species